rnacentral:rRNA from 1 species
CAGCCGCCACGGUAAUACCAGCAGCCCAAGUGGUGGUCGCGAUUAUUGGGCCUAAAGCGCUCGUAGCCGGGCCGGUAAGUCCCUUGUGAAAUCGGACGGCCUAACCGUUCGGCGUGCAAGGGAUACUGUCGGUCUUGAGGCCGGGAGACGUCCGAGGUACUCCGGGGGUAGCGGUGAAAUGUUCUGAUCCUCGGGGGACCACCGGUGGCGAAGGCGUUCGACGAGAACGGGCCUGACGGUGAGGGGCGAAGGCUAGGGGAGCAAACGGGAUUAGAGACCCCUGUAGUCCCUGUCUCUUAUA